GUCCACGCUGUAAACGAUGUACAUUAGGUAUAGGGGUAUCGACCCCCUCUGUGCCGAAGCUAACGCGUUAAAUGUACCGCCUGGGGAGUACGGUCGCAAGAUUAAAACUCAAAGAAAUUGACGGGGCCCGCACAAGCAGUGGAUCAUGUGGUUUAAUUCGACGAUACCCGAAAACCUUACCCAAACUUGACAUCUGGAGAAGUCUGUAGAAGUACGGAUGUGCCCCGCAAGGGGAACUUCAAGACAGGUGGUGCAUGGUUGUCGU
rnacentral:rRNA from 1 species